CCUACGGGUGGCAGCAGUGAGGAAUAUUGGUCAAUGGGCGCGAGCCUGAACCAGCCAAGUAGCGUGAAGGAUGACUGCCCUACGGGUUGUAAACUUCUUUUAUAAAGGAAUAAAGUGAGGCACGCGUGGGAUUUUGUAUGUACCAUAUGAAUAAGGAUCGGCUAACUCCGUGCCAGCAGCCGCGGUAAUACGGAGGAUCCGAGCGUUAUCCGGAUUUAUUGGGUUUAAAGGGUGCGUAGGCGGAUUGUUAAGUCAGUUGUGAAAGUUUGAGGCUCAACCGUAUAAUUGCAGUUGAAACUGGCAUUCUUGAGUACAGUAGAGGUGGGCGGAAUUCGUGGUGUAGCGGUGAAAUGCUUAGAUAUCACGAAGAACUCCGAUUGCGAAGGCAGUUCACUGGACUGCAACUGACACUGAGGCACGAAAGUGUGGGUAUCAAACAGGAUUAGAUACCCGUGUAGUC
rnacentral:rRNA from 1 species